rnacentral:rRNA from 1 species
CCUACGGGGGGCUGCAGUGGGGAAUAUUGGACAAUGGGGGGAACCCUGAUCCAGCCAUGCCGCGUGUGUGAAGAAGGCCCUCGGGUUGUAAAGCACUUUCAGUGAGGAAGAACGCCUGGUGGUUAAUACCCAUCAGGAAAGACAUCACUCACAGAAGAAGCACCGGCUAACUCCGUGCCAGCAGCCGCGGUAAUACGGAGGGUGCGAGCGUUAAUCGGAAUUACUGGGCGUAAAGCGCGCGUAGGUGGCUUGAUAAGCCGGUUGUGAAAGCCCCGGGCUCAACCUGGGAACGGCAUCCGGAACUGUCAAGCUAGAGUGCAGGAGAGGAAGGUAGAAUUCCCGGUGUAGCGGUGAAAUGCGUAGAGAUCGGGAGGAAUACCAGUGGCGAAGGCGGCAUUCUGGACUGACACUGACACUGAGGUGCGAAAGCGUGGGUAGCAAACAGGAUUAGAUACCCCAGUAGUC